rnacentral:rRNA from 1 species
UACGUAGGGUGCAAGCGUUGCCCGGAAUUAUUGGGCGUAAAGGGCGCGUAGGCGGCUUGGCAAGUGGAUGGUGAAAUCCCUCGGCUUAACCGAGGAACUGCCGUCCAAACUGCUUCGCUUGAGACCGGGAGAGGUGAGUGGAAUUCCCAGUGUAGCGGUGAAAUGCGCAGAUAUCAGGAGGAACAUCGAUGGCGAAGGCAGGUCUCUGGGCCACUACUGACGCUGAGAAGCGAAAGCGUGGGGAGCGAACAGG